GUCGGAGCGGACCGGAUCGGAGCUUGCUCUGAUUUGGUCGAGCGGCGGACGGGUGGAGUAACGACGUGGGCGAACCCUGCCCGACAAGACCGGGAUAACUCGGGAAACCGGAAGCUAAUACCGGAUAACACCGAAGACCGCAUGGUCUUCGGUUGAAAGGCGGCCUUUGGGCUGUCACUUGCGGAUGGGCCCGCGGCGCAUUAGCUAGUUGGUGAGGUAACGGCUCACCAAGGCGACGAUGCGUAGCCGGCCUGAGAGGGUGACCGGCCACACUGGGACUGAGACACGGCCCAGACUCCUACGGGAGGCAGCAGUAGGGAAUCUUCCGCAAUGGGCGAAAGCCUGACGGAGCGACGCCGCGUGAGCGAAGAAGGCCUUCGGGUCGUAAAAGCUCUGUUGUGAGGGGCGAAGGAGCGCCGUUCGAAGAGGGCGGCGCGGUGACGGUACCUCACGAGAAAGUCCCGGCUAACUACGUG
rnacentral:rRNA from 1 species